UUUUGGCCCGAUCGAAGCUGAAUCAAGCCACAUGUUUGAGGUCAGUCAAAGCGCGGCCAACAGUAAAGUUUGACAUUAUGGUCGCACGACGUAUAACUAAUAUAUGAUCAUGCAUCACCCAUGUCAAAUACAAAC